rnacentral:rRNA from 1 species
UACGGAGGGAGCUAGCGUUAUUCGGAAUUACUGGGCGUAAAGCGUACGUAGGCGGCUUUGCAAGUUAGAGGUGAAAGCCUGGAGCUCAACUCCAGAACUCGCCUUUAAAACUGCAUCGCUUGAAUCCAGGAGAGGUGAGUGGAAUUCCGAGUGUAGAGGUGAAAUUCGUAGAUAUUCGGAAGAAACACCAGUGGCGAAGGCGGCUCACUGGACUGGUAUUGACGCUGAGGUACGAA